rnacentral:lncRNA from 1 species
AAGACCUCUGAUCACUUUCAAGGCUUUUACAGGUUGGUACAGUUGAGGCAUGAAGAUUUGGAGAUUGAUACAUAUAGAUCUGAGUGGUUCAGUCAGGCGGUCAGCAAUGCCAAUACAACUAACAUUGGCUGUUAAGGAUAACUCAUAUUCCAAUCUGGUUUUACUGUCUUCCAUACAGAUGACGAUCCCACAUAUGGUAAAAUUCAAAUGAUUGCAACCAUGUAACCUUCUUGUUCAUCUCUUCACUAUGUUUUGACCGAUCUUUUCUUUCAACAACCGAAACAGUUAUAUCUACAAUGAUAUAUACCCUUUCAAGGAGAUCCCCGUCCCUAUUUACUGUGAUUAUUCACUGAAAACGAGAGAAUCAUCAUGUUUUCUGAAACUUAUUACUGCAAAGUCUGUUAGCUUUUAUGUUUUAGCUCCAAUAUUUUGGAACUGUGUACAUUUUUUUGUUGAGUUUAUUAAGUUGCCAAAGGGGGGUUGGAAGCGGUUGUGGGUUGAGUAUGGGCGAGUCAAAAACGGGUCAAAAACUAAUGGGUUAAAUAUGGGUCAAGUCAUUUUCUCUCCCUCUCUGUUCUUUUCUAUAUUUUAAUUUCCUUCUCUCCUCUCUCUAGGAUGCCUUUUGUGAAAAAUUAAUCAAUAGGUUUAAAUUGGGCGGGUUAAAUUGGGUUUUCCAUAGGUUUAAAUAGGUGGGUUCAUGGGUUUGAACCCAGAUUGCCAGCCAUAGGUUUUAUAUAGUUUCUUGGAACUGUGUUAAUCUUCUUUCUCAUCUUCCCACUUGUUUUUCCUCACAUUUUGCGUUUUUGUAUAGAACAAGGCCAAAGCACUUGAGGUACUCUGUGCAAGACUGUAUGAAAUGGAAAGAUCUAGAAUCCAAACAAGUAGAUCAAAACUUCGAUCAGAGCAGGUAUAAAAUUGUAAAUAGCUUUAAGAUGGGGAACACUUCGUCUUGUUAUUGUCAUCAUUGCCCCUUUUCAAGACUGAUUUACAGUGCUUGUCACAAUGGGCAGAUUGGUAGUGGGGACAGGUCAGAACGUAUACGUACAUACAACUUUCCACAAGGUCGCGUUACUGAUCAUCGUGUUGGCAUCACUCAUCAUUCAGUAAACGAUGUAAUGCAAUGAGAGAAUCUGGAUAUCUUCAUUGAUGCUCUUCUUUUGCAACAGGAAAUGGAUGCAAUUGCAUCUUUCAGCUCCGGCCAAUGACACUCAAGGUCUCUUUCUGCCGACCUCUAAACUUCCUUAAUAUGUUUCCCCCAUUUAUUGUAUUGGUAUAACUGGGCAAAUUUUGUUUUGUGUUCUUUCCUUGUGAGAAGGAUGUUUAUUAUUUAUCUUGAAUAGUUCAGGCAGUUUCUAUAAUAUCUACUUUAGAUUCUGAACUACCAUGAAAUAGCUACGAAGAUAGUAUUCUUGAUUCCAUCCAGGAUUAAUAUUAAAAAUUCUGAUACGAACUGGCUGUAUGAAAAUGUAAUGUUUAACAUGAAAGCCAAACCGACCACAUAUUCUGCUUUGCUCUGGUGCGUGUAUUGCAUGUUGCUUUGGUCCUGGGUAAACAAUCGUAGAAUUGAUUUAAUUUGUAUUUUUUCCGAGUUGAUUGGUUGGAUAAACCAAUCUACCUGAGAGCUGACCUUUAAUUAACACACACACAACACACACCACACUCACAUGUAAGUUACAAGUUACAACCAUUUGUGAAGAUCAUUUGAUUGGCUCUAUACCUCUUGCAGAAAUUGUGUUGCGUUAUACAAGAAGAACACAUAAUGUGACUUGAGAAUAUCAUUUUAAAAUGCAAAAAGGUCAUACUGUUUCCAAGUAUUAGGCAACUUUCGCUAUACAUUUUAUGAUUUUUGGCGACCAUUAGGAAUUGGCUCUGAUGUAACCCUUUUUUUUAUGUAUUCUUCUUUUCGGUUAUUAAUUAUUAUUAUUUGUGUGAUUCUAGAUGGUUCUUAAUCUGCUUUAAAACUAGUUUGUUUUAAAAAAUCACACAACUUAUAUUGAUCUCAUUAAUGUUGGAAUGAAAAGAGUAGGCAAAAUGUUGUUGUAGUAAAAACACUGUCCUGAAGGGUUGGUGGUUGUUUCUUUCAUCAUGUUUUUAACUAUGUGGUUGUGACAAAUAUGUAUACAUGAUUGUAUUUCACUGCAAAAAAUUACCAUUUGUUUGUGAUAUUAUAAUCAGCUCCAUUGAUGAGGAGUGUUCUUGAUCUUGAUACAAUUUUGUGGAUCAAAAGCUCACCACCCCCAUUCUGCCCCGUAUGUAUGCUGUAAAUAUAAAGGUUUCAAUCUCAUAGAUUUCAUUUUAACAGUUUGCAUUUGGUUGUAUUUGGAUCAAUGGUUUUGUGAAGCGUUUAUUGAGGGAAAGGAAAUAUGAGAAUAUAAUGAACCAAGGAAGCUCAUUUGUUUUCUUGUUCUUUUGUUUUCUUCUAUCAUUUUCAUUUCCCGUGGUGUAAUUCCAUCCAGAACUUUUAUCCAAACAUAGCCGUAAGUAUUUGUGCUUAUCAUUCAUUUUCUCAUGAUACAAUAAGUAUGAAGGAUUGGAAUGGUCCGCUGGUGCGUGCUUUGGUUUUUUAUUAUGAUCGCUCGAUGGUCUUUUGUUUUUAUCAUUCACUUUCCCAAAUCACUGUCAAUCUUCGUUGUCGCCAUUAAUAAACACCACAAAUUCUUAUUAUAUAUUGUUCGCACUGACUGUAAUAUAUGUUGCAACUUCUGUAUUAUGACAGAUAUCAUAUAAAUAUUAUAAUGUAACUUGGAAGCCACUUUUUGGCGUUCAACAUCUUCUAAUUACUUAACAUUCUUUGCCUUCCUUGUAUGGGUGCUUAAGUUUCUUUCUUCUUAUCUUGCAGUAACUUACAUGCAGGAUUUUGCGUGUAUCAUUUAAGUUUUUCGACAUUUAAUUAUGGGGAUUAUUUUAUUUCGGAGAUUUAAACUACUUAUUGUGUCUUUUCAACACAAUAAUUGGCCUCCGUAGGUAUCAUUCAUCCCUUAUUAGGGCCGCACAUGCAUGCCAUCACGACCCAUUUUUGUAUUGUACCUGAUCCAAUUCAGCAAAUCAGCAUCAAGCAAUAGAAAAAUUCUUUAUAAAUCGACAAUUCCACUGUCCGUUUAGCCUUGCUUGAGCUUCUCUUUCCUUCUUCGUUCCCAUUAAAUGGACUCAUCCAAUCGGGUGGGAGGUAGGACGUGAAAGAGGCCCUGUAAUGGUGAUUUUGAUUAUGACACAGAAUAGAGGAAAUCACGCCUUGGCGAGGGUGUUUCAAUCCACGCCCCUUUUUACAAUAUAGGAUGCCACAUGAAUAGACAAGGGUCGUCCAAUCAAUAUUGGUUGAUCCAACUAUUGGUCAACCAAUAGUGCGGCAUGCCAUUUAAGAGAGUGUAACUUAAGUUGGGGGAGAGCAUAUUACGUGCUUUAAUAAAGGGCCUAUCCCUUUUAUAGUACAGCCUGACGCGUGUGAGGAGACGACGAUUAUCAUGUAGAUAGUAGGCGACUGGGUGUGGCUGAUAGUUAAUCAUCACAUCAUUAAAAUUUGAAUCGAAGUGUGCUGGUGGCCGAUGAUACUUACCGUGUACGUUCUUCUAUGAUCCAAAACUUCGCCUUGGGCAUCUCCUCCAAGAUACGUUUAUCGAUUGACUUCUUGUGCAAAUAUGUCGAUCGAACUUACUAUGAAGUAACAGUCGGGAAGCGGUGCUCAUCAAAGUUUUUCGGUCGGACGGGAAUAAUCGAUAAUAUUUUUAUAUUCUUUCCAUAUAAUAUAUAUUUUUAUAAAAUAAAUCAAAUAAAUCAAAAAUAUUUAUAAAAUAAAAGUCAUCACAACUCAGAUUUGGUCAAAGUGUCAGUUUACUUCUAGAGCACAUAAAAUAACAGACACAAGAAUUUAUUUAAAGAUAAAAAAAAUGAGUAUUUACAUACAUUACUUUUGUUCAAACUAGUAACUAGGGGUGUCCAAAAAAAUCUGAAAACCGGUGGAACUCGGACCGACCGAACCGAAUCGUGCCUUUUUGGAUUGUGUUCCUAUGGUUUUAAUGGUUAUGUUCUUGGUUUUUGAAAAAUUAAGGAACAUGUACUUUGGUGUUCGGUUACCGGUUUUUAUUUUCAAACUUAGUGUCGAACUUAAACCAACGGAAUCGAUUAUAUAUAUAUAUAUAUAUAUAUAUGUGGUGUAUAAUUAUAUGUAUAUAUCUACGCGAACACAUAUUUAUCUAGAAUCUAACAAUGAACAGUCGUAAUUCACACCUAGUGUGAUUAUUUUGGUUUUCUCCCAAACAAAAAAUAUUUUCCACUUUCCCCAUCGUUGGAUAUGUUGGUAUUCUUAUCGAAAAAUGAUUUAAAGGCGUAAGUAAAUAAUGUGAAUAAACAAUUGAAUAUUCAAUAUAGUGUACAAUUAUGUAACAAUUUAUUUCUAAAACGAAUUAAAAUUGAUUGAUCAAGCGAGUGUUCAACACUCUUUCUUAAGACAGAGUCGCCCCCCACACAGGUGCUCAGGGUCUAACGGGCUUUAUCCCAGAUAAAAUGAUCACGGACACUGAAUAAGUUGCACUAUAAUAUUCAAGUCAAACGGGAGUAAAAUCUUAAAAUUCGACUCUCUCCAUGUACAAUAUGAAUAUGAUAUGAAAUGAUAAAUCAAAGAAGAAUUAUGUCAAAUUCCAUACAGAUUAUGACAUUUAAAUUCUAUUACAGAAAAAAUCAACAUCGUUUCUGAUAAAAAUCAAUAUGGCAUGAUUAUGGCUAAAGUAUUUCUAAACAGAAAAUAUGUUCUCCCAACAAUGUAGAAUUUUAUACAGAAAAUUCAUACAGAAUACAUAAAAUAAACAAGUAGAGCAUUUCAUCAGAAAUUGUUCCACCACCCACAUUAUAAACCAGAAUUAAAUUAGGUAAAUCAAACGAAUUAAUAACGAAAACCGGAACAGAAAAUCUGGAAUACAUUGCUGAAUUCGAUGAACAGUCUGGUACAGUCGCUUGAAAAAUUCGAUAAGAAUUUGACGUCGGAAUCUGGGCCAGCACACUUCGUU